AUCUUUGCGCAGUGGCAAUAUCGUAACCAAUGAAGUAUAACUGAGGUGCGAUUAUUGCUAGUUGAAAACUUUUACCAAUACCCCGCCAGAGAGACGUGAAAUACCGACUCUGUGGCAAUUUAAUUUUUGGCAGCACGUGAGGGGG